rnacentral:rRNA from 2 species
GCGGCGUGCCUAAUACAUGCAAGUCGAACGCACUCUCGUUUAGAUUGAAGGAGCUUGCUCCUGAUUGAUAAACAUUUGAGUGAGUGGCGGACGGGUGAGUAACACGUGGGUAACCUGCCCUAAAGUGGGGGAUAACAUUUGGAAACAGAUGCUAAUACCGCAUAAAACCUAACACCGCAUGGUGUAGGGUUGAAAGAUGGUUUCGGCUAUCACUUUAGGAUGGACCCGCGGUGCAUUAGUUAGUUGGUGAGGUAAAGGCUCACCAAGACCGUGAUGCAUAGCCGACCUGAGAGGGUAAUCGGCCACACUGGGACUGAGACACGGCCCAGACUCCUACGGGAGGCAGCAGUAGGGAAUCUUCCACAAUGGACGAAAGUCUGAUGGAGUAACGCCGCGUGAGUGAAGAAGGUUUUCGGAUCGUAAAACUCUGUUGUUGGAGAAGAAUGUAUCUGAUAGUAACUGAUCAGGUAGUGACGGUAUCCAACCAGAAAGCCACGGCUAACUACGUGCCAGCAGCCGCGGUAAUACGUAGGUGGCAAGCGUUGUCCGGAUUUAUUGGGCGUAAAGCGAGCGCAGGCGGUUUCUUAAGUCUGAUGUGAAAGCCUUCGGCUCAACCGAAGAAGUGCAUCGGAAACUGGGAAACUUGAGUGCAGAAGAGGACAGUGGAACUCCAUGUGUAGCGGUGAAAUGCGUAGAUAUAUGGAAGAACACCAGUGGCGAAGGCGGCUGUCUGGUCUGUAACUGACGCUGAGGCUCGAAAGCAUGGGUAGCAAACAGGAUUAGAUACCCUGGUAGUCCAUGCCGUAAACGAUGAGUGCUAGGUGUUGGAGGGUUUCCGCCCUUCAGUGCCGCAGCUAACGCAUUAAGCACUCCGCCUGGGGAGUACGACCGCAAGGUUGAAACUCAAAGGAAUUGACGGGGGCCCGCACAAGCGGUGGAGCAUGUGGUUUAAUUCGAAGCAACGCGAAGAACCUUACCAGGUCUUGACAUCCUUUGACCACUCUAGAGAUAGAGCUUUCCCUUCGGGGACAAAGUGACAGGUGGUGCAUGGUUGUCGUCAGCUCGUGUCGUGAGAUGUUGGGUUAAGUCCCGCAACGAGCGCAACCCUUAUUACUAGUUGCCAGCAUUUAGUUGGGCACUCUAGUGAGACUGCCGGUGACAAACCGGAGGAAGGUGGGGACGACGUCAAAUCAUCAUGCCCCUUAUGACCUGGGCUACACACGUGCUACAAUGGAUGGUACAACGAGUUGCAAGACCGCGAGGUUUAGCUAAUCUCUUAAAACCAUUCUCAGUUCGGAUUGUAGGCUGCAACUCGCCUACAUGAAGCCGGAAUCGCUAGUAAUCGCGGAUCAGCAUGCCGCGGUGAAUACGUUCCCGGGUC